GGCUGGUCCGUCCGAGUGCAGUGGUGUUUAUAACUAAUUGAUCACAACCAGUUACAGAUUUCUUUGUUCCUUCUCCACUCCCACUGCUUCACUUGACUAGCCUAAA
rfam:Cavia porcellus supercont2_22 genomic scaffold, whole genome shotgun sequence.